GAGAGAGAGGCAUAGUGGUUUGAGCACUGGACUACGACUCUGGAGACCAGGGUUCAAUUCCCCAGUCAGUCA